CCCUCCCUCAGGGAUAUUUAAGCAGCUGGAUCCCGAGAACACUGGGACCAUCGAGCUCGACCUCAUCUCUUGGCUCUGCUUUUCAGUCCUCUGAAGUCCUAACUGAUCUGCCUGAGGACAGCCAGCCGAGGACGAAGCCCCCACAGAGAAACUUUUUAUCUGGACCCCAAAAUGACGGGAACAUUUACCUAACCGAUGAAUGGCUAGAGCUGAAAAUAAAGAUACUUUCUGAGACAGGUCUCACGUCUCACAGUAAAAAAGAUCUGCGUAUCCUGGUAUUACAUGCAGGUGACUCACUCCAUCCUGGGUUAGCUCAGAGAAAACCUUCCAUCUAUAAACAGGUCCACGGUUUACUUUUACCCACUUGCCCGUUUAUGGCAAUAUCCAAUUGGAGAAAAACACAGGGAGGUAUUUUUAACCGCUGACCAAACACGAAGUCAGUCUCCAAGGACACGAGGUCCUUGCUGGGAACAUUGAAAGUAAAUUCCCGAUUAACAAUGCGGCUGUGGCAUUUGCCAAACAGCAGCGCGCGUCCCUGGAGCGAAACGGAAAACAGGAAGCAUCGCAGAGUGACAGGCCGGGCCAGCACGCACACCUCCAUCACGUGGUUGCAGAGAGAGCCAGGUUUUAUGUAGAACGGCCCGGUGACCCGUGUGUCGCAGAAGAUGCUGAAGCCACGCGGCCCUCGGCCCGCUAACCGAAGCGUGCGCGAAAGCAGGUGCCUGGCGUCCGAGCCGAUUACGGGAAAGGACAGGACGAGCCGUUCGUGGCCGGGACGUCGGCACCCCCGCGCUUGUGCGUGGAGCCGGGAGGGACACGGGUGGGAGAGCUUGAGCCCUGCUUCACCCCGGAAGACGCGAGCCGCCUUACACACCUACCGCCUUGUUGCCUUACUUCCUGCUGAACGUGCUGUUAAUAAAGAGUGACCCAAGCGG